rnacentral:rRNA from 1 species
CCCUUAGAUGUCCUGGGCCGCACGCGUGCUACACUGAUGCAUACAGCGAGUACUUUCCAGCUCCGCGAGGCAGCUGGUAAUCAGCAAUAUGCAUCGUGCUGGGGAUAGAUCUUUGGAAUUAUAGAUCUUGAACGAGGAAUUCCUAGUAAGCGAAAGUCAUUAGCUUGCGCUGAUUAAGUCCCUGCCCUUUGUACACACCGCCCGUCGCUCCUACCGAUUUCGAGUGAUUCGGUGAACCUUUUGGACAGCGUCUGUCCUCGUGUCAGAUGCUGAAAGUCAAGUAAACCAUAUCACUUAGAGGAAGGAGAAGUCGUAACA